rnacentral:rRNA from 1 species
AUUGAACGCUGGCGGCAGGCCUAAUACAUGCAAGUAGAACGAAGUUGCGAAAGGGUGAGUAACGCGUAGGUAACUACCUAUUAGAGGGGGAUAACUAUUGGAAACGAUAGCUAAUACCGCAUACUAGUAGAUGGACCUGCGUUGUAUUAGCUAGUAGGUAGGGUAAUGGCCUACCUAGGCAACGAUACAUAGCCGACCUGGGAGGGGUAUCGGCCACACUGGGACUGAGAGACGGCCCAGACCCCGCCGGUAGGCAGCAGUAGGGGAUCUUCGGCAAUGGGGAGAACCCGUAACGAGCAAAGCCGGGGGAGUGAAGAAGGUUUUUGGAUCGUAAAGCUCUGUUGUGUAGGAAGCGGUACGUAACCAGAAAGGGACGGCUAACUACGUGCCAGCAGCCGCGGUAAUAC